rnacentral:rRNA from 1 species
CACCCCGCUGGAACUAAGCAUAUCAAUAAGCGGAGGAAAAGAAACCAACAGGGAUUGCCCCAGUAACGGCGAGUGAAGCGGCAAGAGCUCAAAUUUGAAAGCUGGCCCCCUCGGGGUCCGCAUUGUAAUUUGCAGAGGAUGCUUCGGGAGUGGCCCCCAUCUAAGUGCUCUGGAACGGGCCGUCAUAGAGGGUGAGAAUCCCGUAUGGGAUGGGGUGUCCGCGACCAUGUGAAGCUCCUUCGACGAGUCGAGUUGUUUGGGAAUGCAGCUCUAAAUGGGUGGUAAAUUUCAUCUAAAGCUAAAUAUUGGCCGGAGACCGAUAGCGCACAAGUAGAGUGAUCGAAAGAUGAAAAGCACUUUGAAAAGAGAGUUAAAAAGCACGUGAAAUUGUUGAAAGGGAAGCGCUUGCGACCAGACUCGCCUGCGGGGUUCAGCCGGUAUUCGUACCGGUGUACUUCCCCGUGGGCGGGCCAGCGUCGGUUUGGGCGGCCGGUCAAAGGCCCUCGGAAUGUAACGCCUCUCGGGGCGUCUUAUAGCCGAGGGUGCCAUGCGGCCAGCCCGGACCGAGGAACGCGCUUCGGCACGGACGCUGGCAUAAUGGUCGUAAGCGACCCGUCUUGAAACACGGACCAAGGAGUCUAACAUCUACGCGAGUGUUCGGGUGUCAAACCCGUGCGCGCAGUGAAAGCGAACGGAGGUGGGAACCCUCACGGGUGCACCAUCGACCGAUCCUGAUGUCUUCGGAUGGAUUUGAGUAAGAGCGUAGCUGUUGGGACCCGAAAGAUGGUGAACUAUGCCUGAAUAGGGCGAAGCCAGAGGAAACUCUGGUGGAGGCUCGCAGCGGUUCUGACGUGCAAAUCGAUCGUCAAAUUUGGGUAUAGGGGCGAAAGACUAAUCGAACCAUCUAGUAGCUGGUUCCUGCCGAUUUCCCCCCCCCGGGGAAAAC